rnacentral:rRNA from 1 species
UAAGGAAUAUUGGUCAAUGGACGGAAGUCUGAACCAGCCAUGCCGCGUGAAGGAUGAAGGUGCUACGCAUUGUAAACUUCUUUGGACGGAGAAGAAACCCCUGCCUGCGGGCGGGGCUGACGGUAUCCGUAGAACAAGCACCGGCUAACUCCGUGCCAGCAGCCGCGGUAAUACGGAGGGUGCAAGCGUUAUCCGGAAUCACUGGGUUUAAAGGGAGCGCAGGCGGUUGGAUAAGUCAGAGGUGAAAGCU